rnacentral:ncRNA from 1 species
UGGGUGUCGUGACCGUCACGCCGUCCGCAGUUGCCGUCGUCAAUGAAUUGCCGGGUCGUCUCGAGGGUGUGCGCACCGCCGAGGUGCGUGCCCGCGUGGAAGGUAUCGUCCUGUCGCGCAAUUACACCGAAGGCGGUGAAGUGAAGGCCGGUCAGGUGCUGUUCCGCAUCG